rnacentral:rRNA from 1 species
UACGUAGGUGGCAAGCGUUGUUCGGAAUUACUGGGCGUAAAGGGCUCGUAGGCGGCCAACUAAGUCAUACGUGAAAUCCCUCGGCUUAACCGGGGAACUGCGUCUGAUACUGGAUGGCUUGAGAUUGGGAGAGGGAUGCGGAAUUCCAGGUGUAGCGGUGAAAUGCGUAGAUAUCUGGAGGAACACCGGUGGCGAAGGCGGCAUCCUGGACCAACACUGACGCUGAGGAGCGAAAGCCAGGGGAGCAAACGGG